rnacentral:rRNA from 1 species
UACGAAGGGGGCUAGCGUUGCUCGGAAUGACUGGGCGUAAAGGGCGCGUAGGCGGUUUGGACAGUCAGAUGUGAAAUUCCUGGGCUCAACCCUGGAAUUGCAUUGAAUACUGGAGGACUAGAGUACCGGAGAGGAAACUGGAAUUUACGGUGUAGCAGUGAAAUGCGUAGAGAUCGUAAGGAAGACCAGUGGCGAAGGCGAGUUUCUGGACGGUAACUGACGCUGAGGCACGAAGGCCAGGGGAGCAAACGGG